GUUGUGUCCCCAAAAACUAUUUUGAAGGAAACACAGAGUAGUCUGGAUACUAGUGGAUCUACAAAUGUAAAUUCUAAUCUCAGACAUUCCAGUCCACUUUUUAACGUUUCGUGCCUCUUUGCGGAAAUGGUUCAGCAUGGAAUUCGUUGCAUUGCUUUUUGUAAAUCGCG